CACGCCACGGUAAUACGGAGGGGGCUAGCGUUGUUCGGAAUUACUGGGCGUAAAGCGUGCGUAGGCGGUUUGUUAAGUCUGUUGUGAAAUCCCCGGGCUCAACCUGGGAAUGGCAAUGGAUACUGGCAAGCUAGAGUGUGUCAGAGGAUGGUGGAAUUCCCGGUGUAGCGGUGAAAUGCGUAGAGAUCGGGAGGAACAUCAGUGGCGAAGGCGGCCAUCUGGGACAACACUGACGCUGAGGCACGAAAGCGUGGGGAGCAAACAGGAUUAGAUACCCCGGUAGUCCCUGUCUCUUAUACAA
rnacentral:rRNA from 1 species